CACGUAGGGGGCAAGCGUUGUCCGGAUUUAUUGGGCGUAAAGAGCUCGUAGGUGGUUCGGUAAGUCGGGUGUUAAACCCCCAGGCUCAACCUGGGGACGCCACUCGAUACUGCUGUGACUAGAGUCCGGUAGGGGAGCGUGGAAUUCCCGGUGUAGCGGUGAAAUGCGUAGAGAUCGGGAAGAACAUCGGUGGCGAAAGCGCUCUACUGGACCGCAACUGACACUCAGGGACGAAAGCUAGGGGAGCGAAUGGG
rnacentral:rRNA from 1 species